UCCCUGGCUCAGGACGAACGCUGGCGGCGUGCCUAAUACAUGCAAGUCGAGCGGACAGAAGGGAGCUUGCUCCCGGAUGUUAGCGGCGGACGGGUGAGUAACACGUGGGUAACCUGCCUGUAAGACUGGGAUAACUCCGGGAAACCGGAGCUAAUACCGGAUAGUUCCUUGAACCGCAUGGUUCAAGGAUGAAAGACGGUUUCGGCUGUCACUUACAGAUGGACCCGCGGCGCAUUAGCUAGUUGGUGGGGUAAUGGCUCACCAAGGCGACGAUGCGUAGCCGACCUGAGAGGGUGAUCGGCCACACUGGGACUGAGACACGGCCCAGACUCCUACGGGAGGCAGCAGUAGGGAAUCUUCCGCAAUGGACGAAAGUCUGACGGAGCAACGCCGCGUGAGUGAUGAAGGUUUUCGGAUCGUAAAGCUCUGUUGUUAGGGAAGAACAAGUGCGAGAGUAACUGCUCGCACCUUGACGGUACCUAACCAGAAAGCCACGGCUAACUACGUGCCAGCAGCCGCGGUAAUACGUAGGUGGCAAGCGUUGUCCGGAAUUAUUGGGCGUAAAGGGCUCGCAGGCGGUUUCUUAAGUCUGAUGUGAAAGCCCCCGGCUCAACCGGGGAGGGUCAUUGGAAACUGGGAAACUUGAGUGCAGAAGAGGAGAGUGGAAUUCCACGUGUAGCGGUGAAAUGCGUAGAGAUGUGGAGGAACACCAGUGGCGAAGGCGACUCUCUGGUCUGUAACUGACGCUGAGGAGCGAAAGCGUGGGGAGCGAACAGGAUUAGAUACCCUGGUAGUCCACGCCGUAAACGAUGAGUGCUAAGUGUUAGGGGGUUUCCGCCCCUUAGUGCUGCAGCUAACGCAUUAAGCACUCCGCCUGGGGAGUACGGUCGCAAGACUGAAACUCAAAGGAAUUGACGGGGGCCCGCACAAGCGGUGGAGCAUGUGGAUUUAAUUCGAAGCCAACGCGAAAGAACCCUUUACCCACGGGUCUUGACAUCCUCUGACAACCCUAGAGAUAGGGCUUUCCCUUCGGGGACAGAGUGACAGGUGGUGCAUGGUUGUCGUCAGCUCGUGUCGUGAGAUGUUGGGUUAAGUCCCGCAACGAGCGCAACCCUUGAUCUUAGUUGCCAGCAUUCAGUUGGGCACUCUAAGGUGACUGCCGGUGACAAACCGGAGGAAGGUGGGGAUGACGUCAAAUCAUCAUGCCCCUUAUGACCUGGGCUACACACGUGCUACAAUGGACAGAACAAAGGGCUGCAAGACCGCAAGGUUUAGCCAAUCCCAUAAAUCUGUUCUCAGUUCGGAUCGCAGUCUGCAACUCGACUGCGUGAAGCCUGGAAUUCGCU
rnacentral:rRNA from 1 species